rnacentral:rRNA from 1 species
GACGAACGCUGGCGACGUGCUUAACACAUGCAAGUCGAACGGGAGUAUUGAAGAAGCUUGCUUUAGAGAUACUUUAGUGGCGGACGGGUGAGUAACGCGUGAGGAGCUGUCCUAUGCAGGGGGACAACAGCUGGAAACGGCUGCUAAUACCCCAUAAGCCGAGAGGUAAAAGGAUCAAUCCGGCAGAGGAGGUACUCGCGUCCUAUCAGCUAGUAGGUGAGGUAACGGCUCACCUAGGCGAAGACGGGUAGCCGGCCUGAGAGGGCGAACGGCCACACUGGAACUGAGAUACGGUCCAGACUCCUACGGGAGGCAGCAGUGGGGAAUAUUGGGCAAUGGGGGAAACCCUGACCCAGCGACGCCGCGUGGGUGAAGAAAUCCUUCGGGAUGUAAAGCCCUGUUGUAUGGGAAGAGCGGAAGACGGUACCAUACGAGGAAGCCCCGGCAAACUACGUG